AAAAGACUUAGUCCUCACCUUAUUAUUGGUUCAUGCUAGAUAUAUACAUGCAAGUAUCCGCAUUCCAGUGAAAAUGCCCUCUGACCUUGCCCCACACCAAGCAAAAGGAGCAGGCAUCAGGCACACCCAAAUCAAUGGUAGCCCAAAACGCCUUGCUAAGCCACACCCCCACGGGUACUCAGCAGUAAUUAACAUUAAGCAAUAAGUGCAAACUUGACUUAGCCAUAGCAACCUUUAGGGUUGGUAAAUCUUGUGCCAGCCACCGCGGUCAUACAAGAAACCCAAAUCAAUAAUCAUCCGGCGUAAAGAGUGGCCAUAUGAUAUCCUUAUUGACUAAGAUCAAAACGAAACCAAGCUGUCAUAAGCCAAAGCUCCCCCUAAGCCCACCACCAAAACCAUCUUAGUCCACACGAUCAAUUUAAACCCACGAAAGCCAGGACCCAAACUGGGAUUAGAUACCCCACUAUGCCUGGCCCUAAAUCUAGAUAUCUCCCACACUCACAUUAUCCGCCUGGGAACUACGAGCACAAACGCUUAAAACCCUAAGGACUUGGCGGUGCCCCAAACCCACCUAGAGGAGCCUGUUCUAUAACCGAUAAUCCACGAUUCACCCAACCACCUCUUGCCAAUACAGCCUACAUACCGCCGUCGCCAGCCCACCUCAAUGAAAGAGCAACAGUGAGCUCAACAGUCCACACUAACAAGACAGGUCAAGGUAUAGCCUAUGAGGUGGAAGAAAUGGGCUACAUUUCCUAGCAUAGGACAUACGAAAAAGGGCAUGAAAACUGCCCUUAGAAGGAGGAUUUAGCAGUAAGAUAAGAUCAUAUUUGCUUAUCUUAAACUGGCCCCGGGGCACGUACAUACCGCCCGUCACCCUCUUCAUAAGCCAUCAUACCCACAAACAUAUUACUUCUACGGCUAUUUCAGACGAGGUAAGUCGUAACAAGGUAAGUGUACCGGAAGGUGCACUUAGACCA
rnacentral:ncRNA from 1 species